AAUAUUGGACAAUGGGCGAAAGCCUGAUCCAGCCAUGCCGCGUGUGUGAAGAAGGUCNNNGGAUUNUAAAGCAAUUUAGGUUGNGACNAGGGGCAGUAAGCUAAUACCUUGCAAUUUUGACGUUACCAACUGAAUAAGCACCGGCUAACUUCGUGCCAGCAGCCGCGGUAAUACGAAGGGUGCAAGCGUUAAUCGGAGUUACUGGGCGUAAAGCGAGCAUAGGUGGUUCGUUAAGUUGGAAGUGAAAGCCCCGGGCUUAACCUGGGAAUUGCUUUCAAAACUGACGAGCUAGAGUACGGUAUAGGGUAGUGGAAUUUCCUGUGUAGCGGUGAAAUGCGUAGAUAUAGGAAGGAACAUCAGUGGCGAAGGCGACUACCUGGACUGAUACUGACACUGAGGUGCGAAAGCGUGGGGAGCAAACAGG
rnacentral:rRNA from 1 species